UUCUGUGCAGCUGAAGAGUAGCAGUCCAGCCUGAAAGUGCUCCUGAAUCUAUAAUUUUCUUUAAGGUCCAAUAAGUUAGUUGGACUUUUAUAUUAAUUUAGGACCUAGUUGUUAAUUCAGUUUAUUCAUAUGGCUAAACUGCCCAUGAAUUUUUCCCAGAUGAGCAUUAAUGAAAUUGGAAUUUCAUUAAGAUCUUCAGGAAUGUGUUGUUAAUCAAAUUCUCUUAAAAUGUAUCAUGAACAUUAAUAUAUCACAUGACUGUCUCACAUUGCUGAUGGACUUCAAAAGUAAGUGUUUAUGUAAAAUGAUUGGUUGCAAGAAGAGACAAUGCUUCAAAUUCCUUGCUGAAAUAAAUCAUAUAGAAAAACAGUUCUAUCUCUAUGACAACCUUGCUGCUUGCUGUAUUGUGGGCAGAGUUAACAUAGUUUUAAUGCAACUUGAUUAUAAGAAAAUGUAUAUUUUGACAUACCUCUCUCUUAGCUGAAAUGGUUAGCAAAAAACUUAAGUGGUCGAUGAAAACCCAACCCUUAAUCAGCCUAAGGAUCAUGAUUUCUCUAUUGAGGUUGUCUUCUUCCAUCCCAAGACAUACCUUUUUUUGUCAAAGAAGCACUUAGGUUUGACUCGAAGUUUAUUGUAGACAAUCAGUGCAGCCUAGCUAAUGCUGUUUGUGGAAUAAAAAACCACCUCACUACUGUGGAUUCCACUUACAUUGAGAAAUAAAAAAAUGAGAUGAAUGGCAGUUCAUUCAUAUUUUAAAUCCAGAAAUCAGCCCAACACAGAUUAGCUAUUGAUUGCAAGAAUGAAGCAAUGCAUAAAAUAGGCAAGUGUAUGGUUGAUUUUGGAGCAUAUCAUUGCAAUCAGAGUAAACAAAAACAGAAAUAUUUUACUUAUCCAUAUAUAGGAGUAUUGCAGAUUAUUCACUGAGUAUAUCAAUACUAUUAAGUGCAUUGUGUUGAUUAUUGAUCUCACAAAUAAGAUUAGAAGAGAGGUUUAUAAAAUAUGUAACCUCCCAGAAGGUUACAUAUUUCAUCUACUAGUAUAGGCAGACUUAUAAUGCUGCUCCGAGAUUAUACAGUUAAAUUAAAUGCCACAAGCCUUCCUUGGAGAUCAAACGUAUCAUUGAAAAGUA
rnacentral:lncRNA from 1 species